AAUGGGCGAAAGCCUGACGGAGCAAUACCGCGUGAGGGAAGAAGGCUCUUGGGUUGUAAACCUCUUUUCUUAGGGAAGAAAAAAAUGACGGUACCUAAGGAAUAAGCAUCGGCUAACUCCGUGCCAGCAGCCGCGGUAAUACGGAGGAUGCAAGCGUUAUCCGGAAUGAUUGGGCGUAAAGCGUCCGCAGGUGGCAAGUCAAGUUUGCGGUUAAAGGCUCUGGCUCAACCAGAGACAGGCCGUGAAAACUGACUAGCUAGAGUAUGGUAGGGGCAGAGGGAAUUCCCAGUGUAGCGGUGAAAUGCGUAGAGAUUGGGAAGAACACCGGUGGCGAAAGCGCUCUGCUAGGCCAAAACUGACACUGAGGGACGAAAGCUAGGGGAGCGAAUGGGAUUAGAUACCCCAGUAGUCCUAGCCGUAAACGAUGGAUACUAGGUGUAGCUUGUAUCGACCCAAGCUGUGCCGUAGCUAACGCGUUAAGUAUCCCGCCUGGGGAGUACGCGCGCAAGCGUGAAACUCAAAGGAAUUGACGGGGGCCCGCACAAGCGGUGGAGUAUGUGGUUUAAUUCGAUGCAACGCGAAGAACCUUACCAGGACUUGACAUGUCGCGAAUCUUACUGAAAGGUAGGAGUGCCUUAGGGAGCGCGAACACAGGUGGUGCAUGGCUGUCGUCAGCUCGUGUCGUGAGAUGUUGGGUUAAGUCCCGCAACGAGCGCAACCCUCGUUUUUAGUUGCCAUCAUUAAGUUGGGCACUCUAGAGAGACUGCCGGUGACAAACCGGAGGAAGGUGGGGAUGACGUCAAGUCAGCAUGCCCCUUACGUUCUGGGCUACACACGUACUACAAUGCUACGGACAAAGGGUAGCAAGCAUGCGAAUGCAAGCCAAUCCCAUAAACCGUGGCUCAGUUCAGAUUGCAGGCUGCAACUCGCCUGCAUGAAGGCGGAAUCGCUAGUAAUCGCAGGUCAGCACUACUGCGGUGAAUACGUUCCCGGGCCUUGUACACACCGCCCGUCACACCAUGGAAGCUGGCUUAGCCCGAAGUCGUUACCCUAACCGAAAGGAGGGGGAUGCCGAAGGCAGGGCUGGUGACUGGGGUGAAGUCGUAACAAGGUAGCCGUACCGGAAGGUGUGGCUGGAUCACCUCCUUUAAGGGAGACCAAGCCCAUUAAUUACCGAAAGCAAUAAUUAAGUAUUAAUGAGGUCAACCUAGGUCGUGGCGAAGCAAGUGAGGCUUUUCAAUUAUAAUUAAGGUUUGGGGGCUAUUAGCUCAGGUGGUUAGAGCGCACCCCUGAUAAGGGUGAGGUCCCUGGUUCGAGUCCAGGAUAGCCCACCUAGAGAAAGCAGCUAGCAUCAAUGUCAAAUGUUAGUUGCAAAGUUCUUCGGGGACUUAACUUAGCUGGUAGAGUAACUGUUUUGUAAGCAGAACGUUAAAAGCUCGAGUCCACUAAUUUCAACCAAAAGAAACUAGCCAAAGAUAGACUUAGCACCAUGACCACUAACAGUAGUCAGAAUGCUGAGUUAUCACUCAGUCAGAACCUUGAAAACUGCAUAGAGAAAGCAAAUAGCAGGCAGAUCCAAUAGGGUAAAACCUAAAGUAUCUGACGAAAAAAACUGGUCAAGCUACAAAGGGCUAAUGGUG
rnacentral:sRNA from 1 species